rnacentral:rRNA from 1 species
AUGCUCGGCCACCUAGCGUCGAUCAUCACCAAGGAGCUGCUCAAUGGGCAGCGCCUGGUGGUGGUCCGCUUCGAGGAGAUUUGCAUGUCCGGCGGCCUCGUCCACCAGAAUAUGAAAUACCUUCGCUUCCUCUGCAAGAGGAUGAACACCAAGCCCUCCCACGGCCCCAUCCACUUCCGCGCCCCGGCCAAGAUCCUUUGGCGCACCAUCCGUGGUAUGAUUCCGCACAAGACCGCGAGGGGAGAGGCCGUGCUCGCCAAGCUCAAGGCGUACGAGGGCGUGCCGCUGCCGUACGACAGGACCAAGCGCAUGGUCAUCCCCGACGCGCUCAAGGUUCUAAGGCUGCAACCUAGGCACAAGCACUGCCUCCUCGGCCAGCUCUCCAAGGAGGUCGGAUGGAACUACGCCGACACCAUCAGGGUCUGGAGACCAACCAGGACAAGAGCAAGUGCUAGAAGCAGUUCGACGACUACAAGGAGUGCCAAAAGAGAGAGGUUUGCUUUUGUUUCCCCGAAUCCUCUCUAG